rnacentral:tRNA from 1 species
GCCGGCGUAGCUCAGUUGGUAGAGCAACUGAUUUGUAAUCAGUAGGUCCGCGGUUCGAGUCCGUGCGCCGGCACCA